rnacentral:lncRNA from 1 species
CUGAUGCACUUACGAGCACCAAUACCAAUCCCAUGUGUCUCCUUGAGACCACUUUACCUUAUCCUUCAAUUGCCACUUCCAACUUCAAAUCGCUCUACAAUGAACUCACACGAACACUCCGUUCGUGAAUCCAAGCCAAACCCCUCGACAGAGUUAUCGGCCAAACCGAUUACCUCGGUUUUCACAAGUGAACCACCAGUCACCGCCCUACAUAGGCCUAUCACUUAAACAUGUCUCAACUACGCGUAGCGUCU